rnacentral:ncRNA from 1 species
CUCACUCGAAAAGGAAGUGAUCAAGCGAUGACAACCAGGAGGUGGGCUUGGAAGCGGCCAUCCUUUGAAGAAAGCGUAAUAGCUCACUGGUCUAGCUCCAUGUCACCGAAAAUGUCUCAAGGCUCAAG